AUCUUCCAGAUGAUUAUGAUGUGGUGUCAGUAGAUCUUGAGGAAACAGACAGUGACACAAUUUGCAGUAUUUCUGAAGGAGAAAUUAACACAGAACAAUAUUGCAGCAUGGUAACUAGUUCUCUACGUGAAACAUUAUUUAUGCUAAUAGGGGAAACCCAUGGAUGGCAGGUUCAGGUAGACAUACCAGACGAACAAUACUACUGCGAACAUGAAUGACAACUAAAUCAGGAAAUUGAUUCCCAAUUCCUCAUAUGCACAUUCUGCAAGAUGAAAACCACGCAAAGAGCAAGAGGCCACUCCAUGAAUUGUAAGUUAACAACAUGUACUCUAUGCGCAGGAUAUUAUUUAAAACCAUCCUUAAGGCCAUCACCACCACCAACGGUACAGUAUGAUGAUAGAAAUUUGAUUUCUGAACUUGUCAAUUAUACCAGUAUUUGUUAGCAGAAAAUAGGAGGUUGCAGAAUUAACUAACUAGAGUAUUGAGAAGGAAUCAAGACUCAGAAAAUCAAUUGACAAAAGAAUUAUUGGAAGAUCUACAACAAUUAUCAAUCGAAGAUCUUCAUAAGGGAAUAAAAGAGAGUUGGAGCAUUUGCCGUAGCAUUGGAAACAGUUAACAAGUCUCUCUCAGAUGCAAUCUGCCCCAUUUCACGAGGAAAGUUAGAUGUUGAUAGUCAAGCUGCCAGUCUGAUUUAUUCGGACAAUGAUACUGAUCUGGUAAUGACGAGGGACCCCACCGAAGGAGUGUCAAAAUCGCCAAGACUAGAUGAUACGGAGUGUACGCUCGAGCAGAUCACCCGAGUGGGCUACAUGUGGUCGAGCGGACUAUAUACGCCUGAGCAGACUACAUGCGGCCGAGCAGACUAUAUACACCCAAGCAGGCUACAUGGGGCCGAGUAGGCUAUAUACGCUCGAGCAGGCUACAUACACCCGAGCAGGCUAUAAUACGAUCGAGCAGAUCACCCGAGGGGCUCCUCGCGGGUCAAGCAAGUAUCUUAUUACAUCAUUUGGGAGUGAGUGCCGCUGGCUUACAGGAUUGCUCCAGCUGGCGGAGAGUACCUUAGAAGCUUCCAACCAUCUUGUCAGAAGAUGGUUGGUUUGUCCAAGGAAUAGUGUCAGGGACACUUUCUAGAGUUGUCCUUUCAUAAAACAUCUGGGAAAACACGCCUAUACUUUGAGAUGCAUGCAUAGACAUUACAAUGGCUCUAUAAAAGGGGCGUUCCCUUCCACAGCAACGGUAUGCACAGCUUCAUUUCUUUACAUGCUUUAUCUACAUUUUUUCCACUAUUAUGUUUCGUCAGAUUUUUUUUUUUUUUUUGAUAAAAGGUAAAUUAUCAUAUAGAUGGAGCGAAAGAAUGUACAGCAACCUAUGGCGCAUAGGUCCUCGUCCGUCAUAUCCGGACCAAUGCCAGAUCGGAAUGAAAAUCCUUAAGGCCGCCGAAUGAUAUAAUGCCGCACAAGGCUAGACAUUGGUAUCGCAACACUAGGUUGAUGUACGCAGACACCAACCGUCAUCACAAGUACAUAAGAUUUCGGGCAGAAGCCCAACUGUACAAUCAUACAAACAAGCAAUACUGUCACUCAUAACUGUAGCUGCAUAGAAUCCACCGUGUCCUCCUUGGCUCCCCAUCUCCGCGAGCUGAUGCCGACCAAACUCCAUGCCCGAGACACAAUGCUAACCCCAUUGCUCCUCAAAUGACAACUCCGUGAUGAAGAGGAGUUGCCACUGAAUCCAAUGUGCCCUCAGCUCUGUCCUCACUAAUGCCGCCGGAAUCCUUAAGGAUUUGUUGGUCACCGGAAGAAACUGUUGUCGAUAGUACUCUGUGAAAACAUGCCUUCCUACCAGCCAAUGGGCACCAUGGCGGACCAGACCAUUGCCCUUCACUCCCGGUCUCCGCAACCACAGCGGGACAUCUUCUCGGCUCGACACUGACGUUCCUUGUGCUUGCAGGACCAGCGAAGAGUCUUCAUCGAGUCAACCAAUGGGCCAUGCCCCCUGCCCACCAUCUCAGAUUUUGGACAAAAUCAUAUUGGUGCCAUAUGCGAGAACGUAGCCUGUAUCCAAAACGUGAAGAUGGAGGACAUUAGACGGCUCACAACUGUAAACACUAACACAAGAGGAUCUGGGGGCGUUGAUAUAGUUUCGAGCGACGAUAAUGUUUCAGUAGUAGCUGGAAGCAGUGGGCGAUGACCGAGUGUCCAAGGACCCAGCUGCAUUGGAUCCAGGUUAGCCACCUGACCAUGGGUCCCGAGCAGACAACCUGCCUGAUCGACGACAUGUAGCCGGACAAUAGGUGCUGAUCAGCAGGCGCCUAACGCACCGAUCCCAUAACAUCGAGUGCUGUUUCACUCCCAUAGAAGAACAAGGCCGAGCGGAAAGAAUGCAACGAUUAUCUAGCGAAGACAUGGCCGCUUGGGAUAACUGAAAGGAUAAGGCCCUCCUGCUUGAAGACUCUCCUGAGCGGGUCAAUCGGCAAUUCUGUCAUGCAAUUCACAAUGACGAGUUGCCGUUGAACUUCAGACCGUCGACGAUCGAGAAGUACAAUGGGUCAACUGACCCGGAGGACCAUUUGCUUGAGUUCGACAUUGUAUCCACUCCACCAAUACUCGGACGGAGUCAAGUGCCUAGUCUUCCUUACCACUCUUUCGGGGUCGGCGCAGAGGUGGUUCCAGCGAUUGCGGAUCGGUUCUAUUCACAGCUUCAGAGACUUCCGAGCAACAUUCACGCAACACUUUUCUAGCAGCCAUCAUUACCAAAAGAUGGAAGUAAACCUCUUCAAAGUCAAGUAAGGGCCAAAGAAGCCGCUCAAGGCCUAUAUUAAGAGGUUCAAUCAGGUGGUUAUGGAGGUCCUGACGACUACCCAGGAAGUGCUGUGUAGCGCGUUCUCUUAGGCACUCACGGAGGGCGAUUUUUUCGCUCGCUCGUCAUAGAGUCCCCAAAGGACUUUGAUGAGUUGCUCGGACGAGCAAUGAAGUUUAUCAAUGUCGAGGAGGCAGGCGGCUCGGAAGAGAGACGCGACUGUCGAGCUUGUUAUUACUCAGGAGCGCGAAGCGACACACAAUAAUCCUCCCCCAAUGGGACCUCGAUCGGGCACGACGAAUCAGCAUAUGGAGCACCAAGUGCAUGCCGUGCAACAUGUAGAGACCAAACGGAAGAAGGUUAAAGAACCUCGACAAUGGAUUCGUAUGUUUUGCUCGUUGCAUAAAACGGUGACUCACAAUAUGAGGGACUGCUACUACUUCAAUCCCCCACCGGACUGCCCCUCUCAGCAAGGCGUUCAACGCCGAUCUCCAAGACCCGAGCGCCGACACUAUUGCCGAGCGGAUGCGCAGCACGGGCGGGAUUGCGCACAUGUCGAGGCAGCUCAAAGGCGAUCAUAGUCGAGGCAUGGCGACAGAUCUGCCCAGGUGUCUUCGGAAAGGUCGCGUAUAUCCACGCAAGAGGAAGAACAUAAAAGGAAAGCCGCUCGGGGCGACAUUAGAUGAGUGUGUGGGGCCCGAUGGAUGGCGAUUCUAACGGGGCGCGGAAGUCGCAUGCCCGAAAGUUAGGCUCAUAACGUUUAGGCAUAAAAGCACAGGAGCCACCUACUAGAUGUUGAUGAACAAAGUGUGCUGGUAGCACACCGAUAGAAAUAUGGAGAGAAAAUAUGCCGAACAUUGGAGAAAUUUGGAGUUAGAUUGAAUUUGGCCAAGUGCCUGUUUGUUGCCAGAAACAGGCGCUUCCUUGAUUAUAUUGUAAUUGAGAGGGGAAUUGAGGCUAACUAAGUUGGAAAACUUAGCUCAGACUCUUAUUGUCUGCAAAACGAAAGCGGGAGGAAUUUGGAACGACCAUGGAGCGUGAGCCACCUACAGCCUUGCUGGGUUGGAUAGUAAGUGCGAAAUUGAAUUCAUGUAAUUUGUAGAAAUAUAUGUUGCAUGAAUAUAGGGGAAUUUGAAAGAAAUCUCUAAAAUACUCAAAGCUCAUGUGCCGAGCGGUCGUGUUAUAAGUGGGCAUGCCCCACGCCAAGUGUGACAGACUCACGCGCCCGAGCGACCGUGUUAUAAGUGAGCCUAGCUAGCUAUGUCCAGUGUCAGAUACUCUUGUGCCGAGCGACCAUAUUAUAAAUGGACAUGCCCCCACACCAAGUGUCAAAGACUCACGCGUCAAAGUGACCUUAUUAUAAGUGAGCCUGGCUAACCACGCCUAGUGUGAGAGACUCUUGUGCCGAGUGAUCAGGUUUGAACUCAAUGCUUACGUGCCGAGUGGCCGUGUUAUAAAUGGGCAUGCUCCCACGCCAAGUGUCAAAUAUUCACGCGCCUGAGCGGUCGUAUUAUAAGUGAGCUUUGCUAGCCACGCCUAGUGUUAGAAGAUUCAUAUGCCGAGCGACCAGGUUUGAACUUAAGGCUCACGUGCUGAGCGGCCGUGUUAUAUGUGGACAUGCCCCCAUGCCAAGUGUCAAACACUCAUGCGCCCGAGCGGUUGUGUUAUAAGUGAGCUUAGCUAGCCACGCUCGGUGCUAGGGACUCCUGUGCCGAGCAGCCAGGUUUGAACUCAAGGCUCACGUGCCGAGCGAUUGUGUUAUAAGUGAGCAUGUCCUCACGCCAAGUGUCAGACACGCGCUCGAGAGACUGUGUUAUAAGUGAGCCUAGCUAGCCACGUCUAGUGUCAGAGACUUCUGUGUCAAGCAGCCAGGUUUGAACUCAAGGCUCACGUGCCGAGUGGCCAUGUUAUAAGUGGGCGUGCCCCACGCCAAGUGUUAAAAACUCAUGUGCUCGAGCGACCGUGUUAUAAGUGAGCCUAGCUAGCCACGCUCGGUGCUAGAGACUCCUGUGCCGAGCGGCUAGGUUUGAUCUGAAGGCUCACGUGUCGAGCAGCCGUGUUAUAAGUGGGCAUGCCCCUACGCCAAGUGUCAAAGACUCACGCGCCCGAGCGAUCGUGUUAAAAGUGAGCCUACUAGCCACGCCUGGUGUUAAAGAUUAAUGCGCCGAGCGACUAGGUUUAAUUCUAAGCUCACAUACUCGCGUGGUCGGGAGCAGCUGAGUGAUGCCCACAAACUCCAGGCCUUCGACAGCCAAGCAACAUACCAAAACCCGGGAAGGCGAACGAUAAGGCACACUAAUGGUCCAGUCAUUCGGACGUACAACCUCCUUCGACUAGAUUUGAGGGAAAGACUUGUGAUCCGAUAAUAACGAGAGAUCCCACCGAAGGAGAGUCAAAGUCGCGAAGACCGGAUGAUAUGGAGGGUACGACGAGCAAAUCACCCGAGCGGGCUUCAUGUGGCCGAGCGAGCUACAUGCGCCCGAGCAGACUACACGCCCCCAGCAGACUACACGCGGUUGAGCAGGCUACAUAUGCCCAAGCGGAGUACAUGUGCCCGAGCAGGCUACACGCUCCCGAGCAGACUACACGUGGCUGAGCGGCUACAUGCGACCGAGCAGGCUACACGUGGCCGAGCAGGCUACAACACGACCGAGCAGAUCACCCAAGCGACUCUGCAUGGGCCAAGCAUCUUAUCACAUUCUUCUGGGAGUGGGUGCCGUUGAUAGCAGGAUUGUUCCAGUUGGCGAAGAGUACCUUAAAAGCUUUCAGCCGUCUUGUCAGGAGAUGGUUGAUUUUUUAAGGAAUAGUGUCAGGGACACUUUUUGGAAUUGUCCUUUCAUAGAACAUUUGGGAAGACGUGCCUGUACUUUGAGAUGCUUGCACAGGUGUUACAAUAGCUUUAUAGAAGGUGGGUCCCCUUCCACAACGGCGGUAUACGUAAUUUCAUUUCUUUACACGCUCUAGUUAUGGUUUUUUCACUAUUCUGUUUCAUUGGAAAACUGACUUAAGCGUUAGAAGGUUAAUGCCGGGAACUCUUUUUUGACUCGGCACUGACAUUCCUUGUGUUUGUAGCAUCAGUGAGGAGUCCAUCGAGUCAAUCAGUGUGUCAUGUUGCUAGUUCACCAUCUGUUCAUAUUUUGGACAGGAUCAGAUAUAUUGGAGAGCAACAGGAUGUCUUCUGAUGUCAGCCGUCAAAAAAGAGAACUUGUUUCUGAGCAGCAACUGUGUUACGGGAGCUUCAAGCUACUCUACAAGUGCAAAAUUUAGUUAGAGCUGGCCAGCAUGUGAAUGCUUUGCUGAAAUCGUCAAAAUCCCAUUCCUCCCGUUAAAUCCUGUGGUACCUGAUGUUUCAUAUGAUAUCCAUAGUUUGUCUGCCUACGUACAAGCAUGUGUGCGAGAUAUCCUCAAAAUCACUCUUGUUUGUCUGGAAGAUGUUAGAGAUUCUGAUGGAACAUUACGCACUUUAAAGUCUAAGGUUAGUACAGUGUGUUUUAAUAAU